AACGGGGCAAUCCGAGGUGCACUUGGCUGCCCCCCGCGGGGUUCAGUGCCACGGUGCGACCUUCUGGUAGUUCCGGAGAGCU
rnacentral:snoRNA from 1 species